AAAGAAGAAGAAAAAGAAGAAAAUCAAACCUACUUCCUGAACACAACAGAACUACCCAACAACAUUAUUCUUCUGAAACCAAUCAGAAUUAGUGGAUCAAAGAAUCAGAAGAAAGACAAACAACAACACUGCAAAUUGUUUCACACUUGCCCCUACAGAAAAUAACAAGAGCAACUUCUGAUGCAUUUUUUAUUCACAGAUUCACUCAAACUUCCUGUGACAACAGCUGUUUUCACUUCUUAUCUGUUCUAUGAAUUUAGUCUUAGCCUCAAUCCAUAUCAAUGUGUUGUAUAAAGGAUUUGAACAUUUUGAUUUGCUGUCCAGCCUCCAAAUUGGUGAUAUCUAAAAUGGGCAUAUCUUCAAAUGAGCUUUUCUUUGAUGGUAUAGUCUCCUGUCUACUCUUGGUAAUGGAUGUGGCUCUGGACUGACAAGAAUCAGCAGAAAAUAACCAGUUUGAGAGACUGCUAUCAACCGCAGUUUCUUGCAUCAGAGGUGUGGGUUUCUGUGCUUGUUGCUCUAAUGCUGCUACAUUCUCCUUUCUCUGACGCUUCACUGGUGGCAUUCCUUUAGCCUUCACUGCUUUCCACUGGCUGAGAUUUUCUACUGGGUUCAGCACAGAAUGAACAUACUGACUCCUAGCUCUAGCAUUUCGGUUCAUCCCAAGCGAUUUCAAUCCUCCCUCAUUCAAAUCGCCAAUGGGUUUCAGAUUUUCGGAAUUUUCCUCAGCAAACUCAGUCAAAGAAUCUCUCUUAUUUGAACUUACUGAUAAAGACAUGAAUUUCUCAGAAAACUCUUCUUGGCUUAUUCCCAUAUCAUCAAUACCGCCACCACUUUCGUCAUCCUCGUCAAAAUCAUCAUCAUCAUCAUCCAAGUUACUUUCUUCAUACUCUUCAUCGUAGCUGUCAAUGCAGUUUCGAUAUCUAUAAUUUGAUGGAUAAGAUGCCAUUUUUGUUACUAUCGAAUCGCCAUCAGAAAGAGACGGAGAUUUUCCUUCUUUUGCAGUUUCUUUGCUAAUUUCUACUUUCUUUUCCUCUUCCUCACUUUCCCAGAAAUUAUUUUUACUUUCUUCUUUUGGAAUCGGCUCAUAACUCUGCACAUUCAAGUUAAAGCUGACUUUCUUUCUAAUUUUGUAGUUCAAUGGCUCCUUCUGCUUUUUGCUGAGCUCAGAGUCUGAGUUUAUGGGCUCCCCUGUUAUAUCAAGAACCGUAGAAGUUGAAUCCAGAGGUUCAUAGCUACCAAAUCCCUGCAAGAUUCAAGAAAACAGAACACAAAAUUGAAAUCGUGUUCAAAGAGAAAAUUAACCAAGUGGUGACCAAGCUUACAUGGUCUCCAGGUUGAACUCUAUUGGCAGGUUUUCUGCGUUUUCUCUUGGAAGAAAAGCCAAAACAGCCAAGAAAGCACCCCAUCUUAGAAUUCUCUAAGUUGGACUGAGGAAUGUGUGGCUAGAGGGUCAUCUCGUUCAUGGUGAGAUAAGCUAAAAUAGACUCGGAGAGAUCAUUUCAUGUGAAGGAUGAAAUUUGAAAGUAAUUUUGGCUCCAACGGUUUUUGAAAAU
rnacentral:misc_RNA from 1 species